rnacentral:rRNA from 1 species
UACGUAGGGUGCAAGCGUUAAUCGGAAUUACUGGGCGUAAAGCGUGCGCAGGCGGCUAUGCAAGACAGAUGUGAAAUCCCCGGGCUCAACCUGGGAACUGCAUUUGUGACUGCAUGGCUAGAGUGUGGCAGAGGGGGAUGGAAUUCCGCGUGUAGCAGUGAAAUGCGUAGAUAUGCGGAGGAACACCGAUGGCGAAGGCAGUCCCCUGGGCCUGCACUGACACUCAUGCACGAAAGCGUGGGGAGCAAACAGG